rnacentral:rRNA from 1 species
UACGUAGGGUGCAAGCGUUGUCCGGAAUUAUUGGGCGUAAAGAGCUCGUAGGCGGUUUGUCGCGUCUGCUGUGAAAACGCGGGGCUCAACUCCGCGCCUGCAGUGGGUACGGGCAGACUAGAGUGGCAGUAGGGGGAGACUGGAAUUCCUGGUGUAGCGGUGGAAUGCGUAGAUAUCGAGAGGAACACCUGCGGCGAAGGCGGGUGCUGGGCUGACACGUGACGCUGGAGGUGACGAAAGCGUGGGGAGCAAACAGG